rnacentral:rRNA from 1 species
UUGCCAGCCCGCUCAGAAACUCAAAGGAAUUGACGGGGCCCGCACAAGCGGUGGAGCAUGUGGUUAAUUCGAUGAUACGCGAGGAACCUUACCUGGGCUCAAAUGUAUGUUGACGUAUUCUGAAAGGGAUACUUCUUCGGACAAUAUACAAGGUGCUGCAUGGUUGUCGUCAGCUCGUGCCGUGAGGUGUCGGGUUAAGUCCCAUAACGAGCGCAACCCUAUCAUUAGUUGCCAUCAGGUCAAGCUGGGGACUCUAAUGAAACUGCCUACGCAAGUAGUGAGGAAGGUGGGGAUGACGUCAAGUCAUCAUGGCCCUUACGGCCUGGGCUACACACGUGCUACAAUGGUCGGUACAAAGGGUUGCCAAGCCGCGAGGUGGAGCUAAUCCCAUAAAACCGAUCGUAGUCCGGAUCGCAGUCUGCAACUCGACUGCGUGAAGUCGGAAUCGCUAGUAAUCGUGAAUCAGAAUGUCACGGUGAAUACGUUCCCGGGCCUU